rnacentral:rRNA from 1 species
AUAUCAAUAAGCGGAGGAAAAGAAACCAACAGGGAUUGCCCCAGUAACGGCGAGUGAAGCGGCAACAGCUCAAAUUUGAAAUCUGGCCCCCAGGGCCCGAGUUGUAAUUUGCAGAGGAUGCUUUUGGCGCGGCGCCUUCCGAGUUCCCUGGAACGGGACGCCAUAGAGGGUGAGAGCCCCGUCUGGUCGGACGCCAAGCCAGUGUAAAGCUCCUUCGACGAGUCGAGUAGUUUGGGAAUGCUGCUCUAAAUGGGAGGUAUAUGUCUUCUAAAGCUAAAUAUUGGCCAGAGACCGAUAGCGCACAAGUAGAGUGAUCGAAAGAUGAAAAGCACUUUGAAAAGAGGGUUAAACAGUAC